rnacentral:rRNA from 1 species
CAGUAGCCGCGGGAAUACGUAGGUGGCAAGCAUUGUCCGGAAUUAUUGGGCGUAAAGGGCUCGCAGGCGGUUUCUUAAGUCUGAUGUGAAAGCCCCCGGCUCAACCGGGGAGGGUCAUUGGAAACUGGGAAACUUGAGUGCAGAAGAGGAGAGUGGAAUUCCACGUGUAGCGGUGAAAUGCGUAGAGAUGUGGAGGAACACCAGUGGCGAAGGCGACUCUCUGGUCUGUAACUGACGCUGAGGGGCGAAAGCGUGGGGAGCGAACAGGAUUAGAUACCCCAGUAGUCCCUGUCUCUUAUAC